AGCAGUUACAUUGCAAUUUCUGGCAACUGGCGAAUCAUACAAGAGCUUGUCAUUUGCACACCAUAUUUCAGUUUUGAGUCUGUCUAAACUGAUAAUAGAUGUAUGCUGUGAAAUACUUUAAAAGGAUAAGUAUUUGAAGGUUCACGUUUCCUCCAUUACUGACUUAAAAAAAUAGGAAAAAGUGAAAACUUUCACUUCACUUUUGAUUUCUUACAGGCACCAACAACUGAGGAGGAUUGGCUUCAAAUAGCAGCAGUUUUGAUAAAUUGUGGCAGUUUCCAAACUGCAUAGGUGCUACGGAUGGUACACACAUUGUGUUCUCCCCACUGCGGACUGCAUGUUCACAGUACUACAACUACAGAAAAUUCGAUAGUGUUGUGCAGCUUACAGUAGUGGAUGCACGUUACAGAUUUCAACUUUUUGACAUUGUAGUUUUGAUGAACAGUAAAAUAAGCGUUGCCCUAUUAGAAAAUUGGUUGAAUGAGCCACAGGCAAAAUCCUUGGAGUGCAGCAAUAUUACUGUACCGGUACCAUAUGCAAUUGUGGCUGAUGAUGCUUUUUGGUUGGAGUCAAACAUAAUGAAACCAUUCAGAGACUGUGGUGGUGAUAAAACCAAAAGUGUGUUCAAUUACAGACUAUCAUGGGCAAGGGGAGUGGUAGAAAAUACAUUUGCCAUCCUUGCAAAUAUAUCCAGAGUUCUCCUGGGUUCAAUAAGGCUGCCAGUUGAAAAAGUAGUGCAAAUUGUGGAGACACUAUGCAUUUUGCACAAUUUUUUGAUAGCUGAAGGAGAUUCCACAUAUUUGCUGGCUUACAGAUGUGGAGGACACACAAUUGUGCAUAGUGGAGGAAGGAGCUUGGAGGAUGGAUGCUGCUCUACCAGGCAUUGCUCAACAGGGUGGAAAUCGAACACCGU